UUUAUACUCCCUCCAUCCCAAAAUACUUGUCAUAAAAAUGGAUAAAAAUAGAUGUAUCUCAAACUAAAAUAUGUCUAGAUACACCCCAUUUUAUCCAUUGUAAUGACAAGUAUUUCCGGAUGGAGGGAGUAAUAU
rfam:Triticum urartu cultivar G1812 contig452397, whole genome shotgun sequence.